GUCUUUUUGAGAUAAUAAUUUAUUUAAAGUCUAAUCUGCCCACUGAAUAAUUAUUUUGAAGGGCUGCAGUAAUUUGACGGUGCUAAGGUAGCAUAAUAAAUAGUUUUUUAAUUAAAAACUAGAAUGAAUGAUUGAAUAAAAUAUAAACUGUAUAAGUUAAUUAAAGUAAUAUUAAAAUUUUUUUUUCUAUUAAAAAAUAGAAAUGUAAUAUAUAGACGAGAAGUCCCUAUAGAUUUUUAUUAAAUAUUUUUAUUGAGUUUAAUAUUGGUUAAAAUUAUAGUUAUUUAUAAUAAUUAAAUGAUUAAAUUAAAAUUUAAUUUAAUUGGGGGGAUUACAAAAAUAAACUAACGUUUAUAAUAAAUAGUAUAUAGAUUAUAUGCAUAAAUAAGUGAAUAAAAUGAUCAUAUAUAUAUAGAUUAAUAGAUUAAGUUACCUUAGGGAUAACAGCGUUAUUUUAAUUUCAAGUUCUUAUUGAAAUUAAAGAUUGCGACCUCGAUGUUGGAUUAAAAUAAAUAAUUAUUGAAGUUGAUAAUUAAAUUUAGUCUGUUCGACUAUUAAUAUUUU
rnacentral:rRNA from 1 species